GUCUUUCCGAACUCCCCCAACCAUCCGAGCUUCCAUAAUACCAUCCAGACUUCUCCAAUCAUGAGCUUCUCCAUUCAUCUUCCGGACUGCUCCAAUCAUGAGCUUCUCCAUUCAUCUUCCGGACUGCUCCAAAUGCUCUCUGAACUUCACUUUCAGUCAAUUCUCUACAGUGAUCAACUAUUCUCCAAAUCUCUUCCAGACUUCUCCCAGCCACGAUCGACUUUACUCCGAACUUCUUCCGGACUUCGUAAAUGAUCGAGCUUCUUCGACAGCAGGACUUCUACAGUCACC
rnacentral:lncRNA from 1 species